rnacentral:rRNA from 1 species
UGCCAGCCGCCGCGGUAACACGUAGGCAUCAAGCGUUGUUCGGAAUUAUUGGGCGUAAAGCGCGUGUAGGCGGUUCGUUAAGUCUGAUGUGAAAGCCCGGGGCUCAACCCCGGAAGUGCAUUGGAAACUGGCGAACUUGAGUACGGGAGAGGAAAGUGGAAUUCCGAGUGUAGGGGUGAAAUCCGUAGAUAUUCGGAGGAACACCAGUGGCGAAGGCGGCUUUCUGGACCAACACUGACGCUGAGGUGCGAAAGCGUGGGUAGCAAACAGGAUUAGAUA